GGGCGCAAGCCUGAUGCAGCCAUGCCGCGUGUAUGAAGAAAGCCUUAGGGUAGUAGAGUACAUUUCAGUGUGGGGAGGAAGGCGUUGAUGCUAAUAUCAUCAACUGAUUGACGUUACCAACAGAAGAGAGCACCGGCUAACUCCGUGCCAGCAGCCGCGGUAAUACGGAGAGGUGCAAGCGUUGAAUCNGGAAUUGACUGGGCGUAGAGCGCACGCACGGCGGUGUGAUUGAAGAUUGAGAUGUGAAAUCCCCGGGCAUUAACCAUGGGAAUGGCAUCUAAGACUGGUCAGCUAGAGUCUUGUAGAGGGGGGUAGAAUUCCAUGUGUAGCGGUGAAAUGCGUAGAGAUGUGGAGGAAUACCGGUGGCGAAGGCGGCCCCCUGGACAAAGACUGACGCUCAGGUGCGAAAGCGUGGGGAGCAAACAGGAUUAGAUACCCUGGUAGUCCACGCUGUAAACGAUGUCGAUUUGGAGGUUGUNNCCCUUGAGGAGUGGCUUCCGGAGCUAACGCGUUAAAUCGACCGCCUGGGGAGUACGGCCGCAAGGUUA
rnacentral:rRNA from 1 species